UGCGCAGGCGGUUAUGUAAGACAGAUGUGAAACUCCCCCGGGCUCCAACCGUGGGAACUGCAUUUUGUGACUGCAUGGCUAGAGUACGGUAGGAGGGGGAUGGAAUUCCGCGUGUAGCAGUGAAAUGCGUAGAUAUGCGGAGGAACACCGAUGGCGAAGGCAAUCCCCUGGACCUGUACUGACGCUCAUGCACGAAAGCGUGGGGAGCAAACAGGAUUAGAUACCCCUGU
rnacentral:rRNA from 1 species